rnacentral:rRNA from 1 species
UCUCCGUUGGUGAACCAGCGGAGGGAUCAUUACCGAGUUUACAACUCCCAAACCCCUGUGAACAUACCAAUUGUUGCCUCGGCGGAUCAGCCCGCUCCCGGUAAAACGGGACGGCCCGCCAGAGGACCCCUAAACUCUGUUUCUAUAUGUAACUUCUGAGUAAAACCAUAAAUAAAUCAAAACUUUCAACAACGGAUCUCUUGGUUCUGGCAUCGAUGAAGAACGCAGCAAAAUGCGAUAAGUAAUGUGAAUUGCAGAAUUCAGUGAAUCAUCGAAUCUUUGAACGCACAUUGCGCCCGCCAGUAUUCUGGCGGGCAUGCCUGUUCGAGCGUCAUUUCAACCCUCAAGCCCCCGGGUUUGGUGUUGGGGAUCGGCGAGCCCUUGCGGCAAGCCGGCCCCGAAAUCUAGUGGCGGUCUCGCUGCAGCUUCCAUUGCGUAGUAGUAAAACCCUCGCAACUGGUACGCGGCGCGGCCAAGCCGUUAACCCCCAACUUCUGAAUGUUGACCUCGGAUCAGGUAGGAAUACCCGCUGAACUUAA